rnacentral:rRNA from 1 species
CGAGUUUACUCUCCCAAACCCCUGUGAACAUACCUUAAUGUUGCCUCGGCGGAUCAGCACCGCUCCCCGUAAAACGGGACGGCCCGCCAGAGGACCCAAACUCUAAUGUUUCUUAUUGUAACUUCUGAGUAAAACAAACAAAUAAAUCAAAACUUUCAACAACGGAUCUCUUGGUUCUGGCAUCGAUGAAGAACGCAGCAAAAUGCGAUAAGUAAUGUGAAUUGCAGAAUUCAGUGAAUCAUCGAAUCUUUGAACGCACAUUGCGCCCGCUGGUAUUCCGGCGGGCAUGCCUGUUCGAGCGUCAUUUCAACCCUCAAGCCCCCGGGUUUGGUGUUGGGGAUCGGGCUCUGCCCUCUGGGCGGUGCCGCCCCCGAAAUACAUUGGCGGUCUCGCUGCAGCCUCCAUUGCGUAGUAGCUAACACCUCGCAACUGGAACGCGGCGCAGGCCAUGCCAGAAAACCCCAACUUCUGAAUGUUGACCUCGGAUCAGGAGAG